rnacentral:lncRNA from 1 species
UACAAAAAAUUUCCAUAAAACCUGGUUCGCAGUGUGAAUUUCAGAAUUCUGAGUUGGUUACAACAUGAACAAUGAACAUGAGAACGUUGACAAAACUAGGUUAAUUUAUUAGGAAACAGAAUUAAGAAGGGAUUGAUUUUAGUUUUGGGAUGGAUGGGUUGAUGACAAGUGAGAUUUAAAUACCAUUCCAGCAGAGGGAUUAGUAAUGCUGUAACCGCCAUCCACCACCAAGUUGAUCCCGCUAACGUACUUGGAGUCAUCGCUCCCCAGAUACAAGGCUGCCUCUGCGAUGUCUUCCGCCUCUAACACCGCACCUUUUAGGUUGGCCGCAGAGGAAACUAACUCUUCAACCUUCCUCUUCUCCAUUAUUCCCAAUCCUUUCUGUAACAUAGGUGUUGCCACUCCGAACGGAGAUAUGCAAUUAACUCUUAUCCCAUAUUGUCCCAACUCCACACAUAAGUUGUUGGCAAGUCCCACCACAGCAUGCUUCGAUGCCACAUAUGCAUGUGAGAUCUCCUCCGAAACAACUGAAGCCACACUUGACGUAAAUAUAAUGCAUCCUGUCUUAGCUGGAAUCAUAACUCUAGCGGCAUGCUUAGCGGCCAAGAAGGCCCCAUACACAUUCACAUCGAAAACCCUUUUAAAGUUUGUGUUAUCAGAGAGUAUGAUUCUUGACUCCAUUUCGCCAUGGACGCCGGCGUUGCUGAACAUGAUGUCGAGUUUCCCAUAUUUGGAUAUGGCAGUGUCGACGGCGUUUUGGACGUCGGAGUCACAUGUUACAUCGCAGUGGACAUGGAAAACGGUUUCUGCGGGACCAAUUUCUUGGCAAAGGGAGCGCCCAAGUUGGUCUUGGACAUCUGCCACUAUGACCUUGGCACCAUGUUUCACAAAUAACUUGGCAGUGCAGGCGCCUAUGCCACUGGCUCCACCAGUUAUUAGUGCCACUUUCCCUGCUAACCUGCAAUUCAAACAAAGGAAACAUUUCAUCUUUUACAUAUUUCCAUGUGAAAUGAAUUAAUUACAUAAGAAAUAUCUCGUACCGAUAUUCUCAAAAUUAUCACAUAAUGAUAUGAAAUAUAUUUGUUUUAGAAGAUUAAGUAGCCAGGAGUACCUGAAUCUGUUAAUCAAAAAAUGAAGAUCAUAAGCAAAUUAAAAGCCUAACUAUCAUCGGCUUACCUCUGGGUGAGGGGAAUGGCAGCACUCAUUUCUGCCACGUGAUGAAGAAGAGGGAAAUGUCUGGGCUAUCUCUGCUUUAUGUUGUCUAUGCCUUUGUAGGACAAAAUUCUCGAUAUGGUAAGUCACAGUCAACUUCCAGGUUGGCCGUUUAAAAAUAAAAAGUACUUGUAGAAGCCCAAACCUUGGGCGGCUAGAUUUCUUAAUAAUGGGCCGGCGGGUAAAACGUCAGGGCCUACGUUAGUCUGACAACUAUAUUUUAGGUAUCUUAUUACUGAAAGAAUAUGUCAACCGUUGUGAGUUGUGACCUUAAUUAAAAUAAAAAUAAAAUAAAAUAAAACUGUUGAAAGUUUGGCCGAAAAAUCGCUUAUCGACUAUGAAUAGGUCACCGCUACCCACCCUGCCCAUGCUUCAAAUUUCAAAUUUAAAGUGGCAGGAUGCUGCCACCGAAUUUCAAAUUUAAAGUGCUGCGCAAGGGAUUCGAACCAGGCCAAAAAUUCUUGGAUUCAAGCUUGGUUGUUAUUACACCUCGUUUGUUAAUAUGUUAUAAUAAUAAAUAUGUUAAAGUUCAUUAUUAAAAAAAAAAAAUUAAUUAUUUUAUUUUAAAUUUUAUUUAAUUAAUUAAUAAAUAUAUAAAAAAUAAAAACUAUCAUUAUAAUUUCUUUAAUAAAUAUUAUUUAUAUAAUAAUUAAAUAUUAAAAAGUCAUAUAUACAUCAUCAUUUAUUUUACAUUAUUAAAUAUAUUUGAAUUAAAUAAAUUAUAAUUUAAAUGUUAAAUGUAUCAUCAUUUAUCUCAUUAAUUCUAUUUUAAAAAUUACUAUAACUUCACUUUUAAAAUUUUUUUAUUUAUCAUUUUAAUUUUGAAUGUUUUUAUUUUAAAAUAUUAAAAAUAUACAUUUAUUAAAAAACACUAAAAUAUUAAAAAAAUAAUUAAGUUGUAAUAUUUUAUAAAUUAAAAUUAAUUUGAAUAUAUAAAUAAUAAGUUAUUAAUUCUGAUAUAUUCGAUAUUUUUUCUCUUUAACCAUACCUAUAUCAAUUAUAGUUAAAAAAAAAAACUAACAUGUGUAUUUUUAUUUAUUUUAUCAUUUUUUUACCAUUUUUUCAAAUAUUUUUAUGAAUUUUGAAUAAUUUUUACCUUAUCAAUAUUUUUGUUAAAAUAUCUCCUUAUAUUUUUUUGAUAUUUCCUAUAUAUCCGUAAAAUCCAAGUAUUGAUCUAAUUUUUUGUUUUUUUAAAGAAAAAUUAUAAAUCUAAAUUCUUUUUAAAAAUCUUUAUUAAAUUAGUGACACUAUUAGUUUUUUCCGUCAACCAUGAUCUUAAUAGAAAAAAAAUAAAAUAAUAAUGAUAAAUGGAUGUUGACGUGGGAAUAGUAUGUGUUGGGAAAAGAAUCAAAAGAGAGUAGUUGUGGCAAACUCCCAUAUUUUACAAGCCACUUUGCAAGAGUCCACUCCACAUGCCUCAGCCACUUGCGCCGCCUGUUCUAGGUACCACGCACCUUACCUUCCAACAAAUUAAAGAACUAUCUUGAUUGUGCCUUCGUCUUUUUUUAAUUUGAAAGAAGUUAGCAAAAGAUCUCGUAUGGAGAGCCCUUGUGUGACAACAAGUUAUCAUCUUUUAAUUUAUUUUUUUGGUAGACUUAAAACAUAAUACAAUAUGCACUUUAAUCAAUUGUAUAAUAUGCUAUUAAACAUAAUACAAUAUACUUUUUUCUUUAAUAUUGUGAGAAAUAUUAAUGAAGUUAAAAUAUUUUGAAUUAUUAGAAGUUUAAGAAAUAUUGAAAUUUAGAGUUUGUUUAGCCUUUUAAUUUAAAAAUGUUUUUUUUUAAAUAAAAACUAAAAAUUAGUUUUUAAGAUUUAUAGUAUUAUUUGUGGUAUGGAAAAAUUAAUCUGAUUUAUUUGAUAUCCUUUGUUUGAUGAGAAAACAAGUCACUAAUGAGAAAAUUAGUCAGAUUCUACAAUAUCAAACUUAUGAGACUUAAAGGAAUAAAGAAAGAGAAUUUUAAAAAAGAAAAAAAACGAGGGAAUUAAAAAUCAUAAAUAAAUUAAGUAAAUAAAAAUAAUAUAAAAGGAUUGGAUUCUAAAUGAACAAAAUUUAACUUGAAAAUGAUCUUUUUGAUGACGAAGAAUGAAAGAGAAAGGGAUUGAUCCAUAAUAAUAUUUUAUUCUUAUUAUAAGAUCAUGAUUUGAUUUCCAUAUCUUUGAUAAAAAGAAUAAUCCUUUCCUUCUAUAAAAAUGGAAAAUAUUCAAUUGAAACAUGAAAAUGUGACUAAAUUGGUCCUAAUUACUCUUUGAGACAAAACAAAAAAAGGGAGGAGAUUCUUGAAUAAAGAAAAAAUCCAAUGACUUCGAUAAAACCGAAUGAGGAAUGGUAUGAGUUGAAAUAACAUAUAUAUGAUUUUGUAGAGUGACCAUUAGAGUGACUUAUCUAUAAACUUUUUCAUUAUUAUGCACUAAAAACUCAACUUUACCCCAUGUAAAGUUAGAAUGCAAUAUUCCUUUACAUUUGAAAUCACUAGUUAUAUACUUGGUAAUUGGUAUUGAUCUUAAUUCAUAAAAACAUUUUAUAAUCAUAGUAAUAGAAGGAAAAGUUGAAGUUUCCUUUCCUUUUGUGAGAUGUCACACUAUUCAAGUAACCUUAGAUGUUGUUCAUUCUAAUUUCAAGACUUAGUUUAUACUCUUUCUUAAUCUAAUGUCAUGACCAUCUAAUGCUAGAUCCAAGACCUUAAAAGGUUUUUUUAUAAAAAAAUUAUUUUUAAAGAUUUAUUAUAUUCUUGGAGUGUUGUUACCUUAAAAAUAGUUUUUAAAAAUAAAGUUAAAAAAUAAUAGUUUGAAGAGAUAUUUUCACUUAUUUUUAGAAAAAAAAUAUGAGCAAAUAAAAAUAGAUUCACGAAUAUUAUAAAAAGCAAAAUAUAAUUUUUUUUUCCUUUUAUUCUCUUUAGUGCUCAACAUUUAAAAUCUUUAAAUAUAAUGUCUCUAAAUUUUCUUGUUAGGUAAACAAAUUUAAAACUUAGACUAAAUUUUCUUGUUAGGUAAACAAAUUUAAAACUUAGAGGGACUUGAUGCAUGGGAUUUGCUCAUGUUUAAAAUAAUUUGGAAUAAAAAAAUUAUCAAAAUUAAAAAAAAAAAAAAAACUUAAAACCUAAUCAAAGUAAGGCUAGAAAGUGUUGCACCAAAACUAGUCAUGAUAGAUUUUGCUUGUUCUCCUUUACAUAUAAUUAUGAUUUUUUUGAAUUUUUCCACUAAGUAAAUAGACUUUAUAAUUAAGACUUUAACGUGUUUGAAUUCCUUAAUCAACCUAAUAAUUUUUAAAAAUAAUUUAAAAUUCAUAUACUAAGCCAAUUAAUACAAGAGAUUUAUGAACAAAAAUUGGUUCAAAAUUUAUUUUGUUAUUUAUUUUCUAUGUAAAACUAUUUGUCACUAAAUAAAUAAAUAAAUUUCAAAUCAAAUGACACUUAAUACUUUAGAUGUGUUAACAAGACUAUUUGGACAAAACUUUUUUUUUUUUUAGGUGAAACUAGAUACGUUACAUAAACUUGAGUUAAAUUCAAUACAUAAAUUUCAAACAAAAUUAACAAGUUUCCUUUUUUGUCAAUCUAAUACAUUAAUCUUUCAUAAUCUAUAAUUUAUCAAUAAAAUUUUUAACUUUGUUAAUUUAAUUAAUAAUAAUACUAAAUAAUGAGAUAUAAAUGAAAAUUACAAUAUCGAAUAAAACUAAUAUAUAUAUAUAUAAUUGAAAGUUCUAUUUAUUUACAAAAUUCUAAAAGGUUACUUUUAGUGAAAGCCCUAAAUGAAGGAAUUAUUUGACACUUAAGCAUAAUUUAAAAUUGACAUUGCUUAAAAAGAAAUGGGUGUUAAUUUGAAAAGUGAGCAAAAAUGGAAAAGCUUCUUUUUUUUUUUUUUUGAAUUUACGCUUAAAUUAAGGGGGAAAACAAAGAAGAUUAUUUGAAAACAAUUUGACUAAUUUGAACUUGUUCUAUAUUUUUACUCACAUUAACUUUUUAGCUUAAUAUUAGUAUAAGAAAGGUUGUACACUAAUAAAACUAUUGAUUUAGUAGAAAAAAAAUUAUAGAGACCUCUAACUAGAAGAUAAUGGAAAAGUAUCUUUGUAACCAUUCCAUCGUGUCGUUGAAGGAACCAUAACAAAUCUUUCUGGUCCAUUAAAAAUGAAACAAAUUAAUUGAUCUUUCAUUGGUUAGAAGACAAAUAUAGCGUUCAUUACUUUUGGAAAAAAAUCAUAUAAUUAAUUACUAGUUGACACAUGGCAAUCAAGAGUGUAUAAAAACUAAAAAGUAAUGAAAUUUCACAAGGAAAGAAACUUUUGAAGACAUUAUAUUUUAAUGAAUUCAUAUAAUUAAAAGUUGUGCCUUUGACGAAAAGUAUCCAAAAUUUUAGUAAAUUUUAUAUAGAUGUAUUAAAUUUGGAUUUUAGAUAUUGAAGUUUUUAUUUUGUUUUGUUUUGUUUUGUUUUUUUGGUUUUUUUUUUUUUAAUUUAAAUGUGAACACACUUCCUUUCCAUUUCUUUCUUGAAGAAAAGACAUACUGAAAAAGUUCACUUGAAGGUCAAAAAUCAAAUAAAAAUACAAUGGAACGAAGGUGUAUGAACAAAUUUCAUAAAAGGUCUUGCAAAAUUAGUAAAACAAAUAAAAAAAUAAUACAAAUAAAAUAUUUAUUGAAAUUAAAAAUAUUAUGGGUAUAAUAUCAAUAUAAAAAAUAAUAUUAUUUUCAAAAGAAUAUUUUUUUUUCUUAUUCUGAAUUCAUUGAAUAACACGUACACGUGUUACUAAUUUGUAGAGAGAUUUGAUGAAAUUUUUUCUUUUGUUACGAAGAAAACUUUUUCUUUUAUUGUGAAAAGCCUCUUUUCUUGUAUUGAAUUUUCUCUUUUUGAAUUUCAAAUUUUCGGAUUUUAAUUAAAAAGAUUUAGUUUCUUGAUUUUAACAACUUUUAUUAUUAUUAUUAUUGUUAUUAUUAUUAUUAUUAUUAUCUUGGAGAUUAGUUUCCUUUUAUAGGAAAAUUAUCUAUAAAAGGAUACAUAUUUUUAUUUAUUCACUUAUCAAGUUAUUUAUCAAUUUUGAAGAUCAAAUGAUAAUUUAAUCAACUAAAAUUUUUAUGUUUACAUAAGGAUUAAAACAACUUCUUCUAUUAUAUUUUUCAAGCGGGGUGGAAUUUUUGAGAAAUAUUAGGUACGCCUAACUUAUGAAUACUUAAAAACAUGAGAUCACCUUGUGAGAGAGUUUUGGGGCAAAAUAGCCCUUUCAUGUAAACAAAUAUAACUUUUAGCUCCGUUUUAAAACUUAUGUUUAAACUAUAACCCCUUUAUUCCCACAUACAAGGAUUGAAAUAUCGGUAAACACGGAUAUAUCGGUACUUGAAUUUUACGGAUAUAUCGAAAAUAUCGGAGAAAUAUCGGUGGAUAUUUUUCAUCAAAUAUCGGUGAGACAAAAAUUAUCCAAAAUUGAUGGGAAUGCUUAAAAAAAGCCAAAGAAUGAUAAAAUAAGCAAGAAUAUGCAUGUUAAAGUUAUUUUAUAAGUGUAAUUGACAUAAAUAUGAUCAAAGAAAAAAAUAUCGGUAAAUAGUUUACGAUACUUGGAUUUGAAGAAUAAAAAAUAUGAAAUUUGGAAUUGUACACUUAGAAAGUUAGAAUUGAGUUAAGAAAUAUUUGAUUUCAUUAAAUGAAAACAAUUUACACAUAAACAUAAUACAUAUGACAUUGCAAUGGUCCUUAAUACCAAAAUGAAGAUCGAUGUGGUUCCAUCAUAUUGUUAUUGUUAGAUGAAGGGAGCCCAUCUUGUUGAAGACAAUAUUCAUACCAGGACAUGGAGUUUCGAUAGUAUUGAUUGUAUGUACGAACAUGCCAUGCAUAAAUUUCUUGAGUCCUACCAACAACUUGUCCAUGGAUAGGAAAUCCAGGGUUUUCCCAUGUGCUCGUUUGAAAUCCUUGUUGUUGCAGCUGAUGUGGAAGGUAGUAUGGCAUUUGUGUGGAAGAAGGAUAGUUAUACCUUUCAUACUCUUCAUCAGUGGAACUUGAAAGAUUUUGAGGAGGCUGACCAUAACUCAUUGCAUAAGGGGCAUAAAUGUUGGCUUCGUUUGAUGAAUCACUGAAUUGAGUCUCUACACUCAUCGACUCAAAACUGGCCGACAAUGAGUCCUCGUUGUAUGGCAUCAUCCUUCGUUGUCUUCCUCUAUAUGGCUUUCCAAUGGCUCCAACACCUGGACCGGCUCUUCUAGAGCCGUGGUCUUCAUCUUGAGUACAAUGUGUGAAAUCAUCUUCACAAGUAAAUGCCAAGGUUCUCCUCAUCGUCCUCAUCAAUUAAAUGCAUAUGUCUUCUUCCCAUUGUGUCUCGCAGUUCUGCUCGAAUCUCUUCUAUAUCAACAGCUUUCUUCGCUUUUGCCUUAUUUCUUUGCUCUAUAAGUCGUCUUAUUUCUUGUUUCACUUCUGGAGGCACGUUAGGACACUUUUUUGUAUUUGAAUUAGGGUCUGUAUGUGAUAGGUGAAAUUUAAAACGAGUAAUCCCACCACUCUUUAUUGCCAACCCACAGUAAUUGCAUAUUGUUCCAUUUUUGUUCCCUUCCAUAGGUGUACAAUAUUUCCAACAAGGAUCUCGACCCAUGGUACCGCUUUCACUAGCCAUUUUCUAAAAUUGAAUUAUGAAACUAAUAUCAAAUUUAAAAUUAUUAAAGAUAAAACAUGUAAGAAAUUUAAUAUGCAUGAAAUUGAUAAGAACUAAUAAAAAUUGAAAUUAAAAUUGAAUUAUGCAUAUAUGAAAUAGAUAAACAUUACAAUAAAAUUUUGAUAAGAAUUAAAAUAAAUUAAAUUUGCAUAUUCAUGAAAUUGAUAAGAAUCACUACUAAUAAAAAUUAAAAUUAAAAAUGAAUUAUGCAUAUAUGAAAUAGAUAAACAUUACAAUAAAAUUUUGAUAAGAAUUAAAUUAAAUUAAAAUAAAUUAAAUUUGCAUAUUCAUGAAAUUGAUAAGAAUCAUUACUAAUAAAAAUUAAAAUUGAAUUAUGCAUAUAUGAAAUAGAUAAACAUUACAAUUACAUUUUCAUAUGAAUUAGAAAAUAUCAAUUAAACUAUAUAUAACAAAUAAAAUUUAAUUAUGCAUAAUAAAAUAAAUUUUAUGAAAGGUAAGACAUACCUUAAUUAGCCUUUGACUUGGAGUUAAUCCCCUUCACCACCAAAUUUUCAAAAUAAAAAAUUUUUGCUAGAUCAUAUAAGAAUUUUGAUGUAUGAAAUGAAAUGGAAUGUGGGUAUUUAUAGGAAUUUUUUUGGUCAAACUAGCCGUUGGAUGGUCAAACUAGCCGUUAUAAAUUAAUUUUAACCGUUGGAUCAAAAUUUGGUUCAAAUUUCACCAUUAGAUCUUCAUAUAACCGUUGGAAACACUCCAUAGCCCUUGAUAAAAGUCAAGAUUGAUUUUCCACCAUUGGAUCACAAAUCUGACCGUUGGAGGCCUUUACAUACACGGGUGAAAUCUGGGCCAUCAGAUCCUCAAAAAUUCAAAAUUGGCCGUCAGAUCAAAAGCAGGGAAUCUUCAAAAAAUCGCCGAUUUUUUCAAAAAAUCGUCGAUUUAUCGCGAUUUUAUCGGCAAAAAAUCGCCGAUUUUUCCGAUUAAUCGCCGAUUUUGCCGAUUUUUGGCCGAUUUUUCCGUCGAUCGAUAAUCGGUGCCGAUUAUCGUUUCGAUGCCGCCCGAUAACCGAUAUUUCUCCGAAAUAUCGGCGACAUUUUCCGAUUUUUCAAUCCAUGCCCACAUAAGAGUUAUGUCAUUUUUUUUUUAAUAUUAAAAUUUGAACGGAAGCCUCAAUUGCCAAUCGAAACUUCAUUUUUGAACUAAAAUUUAAAUUGACAAUUGAGACUUUAGUUAUUUUUGUUUACUUUAAAAUUUAAUUAAAAAUAUUAAAUUAUAAAUUAUAAUUGAAAUUAAAAAUAUAUACAUCAAUAAUAAAAGUUUAUAUAUUUAAACUUAAUGAUCUAAUAUUACUUCAAUAAAGAUAAAUUGAUAAAUAUAAUAAUAAAUGAAUAUUUUAUUUAUCAAUAAAUUAACAAAUUUAAAAUAUUAAAGUUAUAUUGCAUAUAAAUAAGAUAUAAAAUUAUAUAAUUUAUUAAUUUAAGAUAUUUAAUUUAUUGUAUUUUUAAUAUAUUAAUUUAUUUGUAUUUUGACAAAUAUUGAAAUAAAAGUAUAUUCUUAAGUUAUUUGUACACACAAUAUAUAUGCCUUGAAUAUUUGUUUUGAAAUUAGUUAAUGAAAUUAAUAAGAAAAAGUCUAUAACAAAAUCUAAUUUUUAUUAGUUUCAUCAAAGUCACAAGAAAAUACCUAUUAAACAUUUCUUGUGUGAAAAAAAACCCCUCGUUCCUAAUUACAUGUGAUAUAAUUUAAAUUAAUAAAUUAUAUAAUUUUAUAUCUUAUUUAUAUGUCAUAUAACUUUAUUAUUAUAAGAUUAUUAAUUUAUUGAUAAAUAAAAUAUUUAUUUAAUUUUAUAUUUAUCAAUUUAUCUUUAUUCAAAUAAUAUUAGAUUUUUAAGUUUAAAUAUAUAAAUUUUUAUUAUUAAAAUAUAUGUUUUUAAUUUCAAUAAUAAUUUAUAAUUUAAAAUUUUUUCCAAAUUAAAAGGGUGAGUUGGAAGCGAGUCAGGGGGGGUUGAACAUCCAACACUAGUUUGACUUUUCCAAAUUUUUAGGAUAACGUAAUGGGACAUGGACUGAUGAAUGGUAUUUUAUUACAAAAAAUUCCCAUAAAACCUGGUUCGCAAUGUGAAUUUCAGAAACAACAUGAACAAUGAACAUGAGAACGUUGACAAAACUAGGUUAAUUUAUUAGGAAAUAGAAUUAAGAAGGGAUUGAUUUUAGUUUUGGGAUGGAUGGGUUGAUGACAAGUGAGAUUUAAAUACCAUUCCAAAAGAGGGAUUAGUAAUGCUGUAACCGCCAUCCACCACCAAGUUGAUCCCGCUAACGUACUUGGAGUCAUCGCUCCCCAGAUACAAGGCUGCCUCUGCGAUGUCUUCCGCCUCUAACACCACACCUUUUAGGUUGGCCGCAGAGGAAACUAACUCUUCAACCUUCCUCUUCUCCAUUAUUCCCAAUCCUUUCUGUAACAUAGGUGUUGCCACUCCGAACGGAGAUAUGCAAUUAACUCUUAUCCCAUAUUGUCCCAACUCCACAC